UACGAAGGGGGCUAGCGUUGUUCGGAAUCACUGGGCGUAAAGCGCACGUAGGCGGGCCGUUAAGUCAGGGGUGAAAUCCUGGAGCUCAACUCCAGAACUGCCUUUGAUACUGAAGAUCUUGAGUUCGGGAGAGGUGAGUGGAACUGCGAGUGUAGAGGUGAAAUUCGUAGAUAUUCGCAAGAACACCAGUGGCGAAGGCGGCUCACUGGCCCGAUACUGACGCUGAGGCACGAAAGCGUGGGGAGCAAACAGG
rnacentral:rRNA from 1 species